CACACACACAUACACACACAAGCCCGCACACAUGUACACGUGCACACACGCGCGCACGCGCGCACACACACACAUGCUGAUUCUGACGUUAUUCUGCAAAGAUGAUGCAAUAGACGUUCUCUCUUGCAUAUUAUUUGUCAUUCUCCAGCUGUAUGACACAUGAAUGGGCCAUCACUACUUGGGUCCUAUGUCUGUUCCAGGCAGGACAACUAUGAUUCAAUGAUCCUCUUUAUCUACACCCCUUUUCUCUCUUGGGUCUCUCUGCAUAUCUUUAUGCCAAUCAGCUUCCCAGCCCUGUGACCAAUCACCUUGAGGAGAUCGACUUAAAGGAGAAAAGGUAAGUGUGGCUCGUGUUUUCAGAGAUUUCGGUACAUGGUCCAUUGACUCCAUUGUUUGGGGGCCUGAGGUGAGGCAGACAUCAUGGGGAAGUGCAUGGCGGAGCAAAGACACUCACCUCAUAGUGGCCAGGAAAGACACAUGAGACACAGGAGGAGGGAGGAGGAAGAGAGAGGGAGGAAUGGGGAGUGGGAGAGAGAGAUGGGAAGAGGUUCAGGAGAGACAUCGCACCCUGAUGCCAAAAUAUCACUUUAAAAUUUACACCCCUCAUGACCUACUUCCUCCCAACACCCCACUAAGCCAGAAUUAACCCACUGAUGGGGUCACAGCCCUUCUGAUCUGCUAAUUUUCUCAGAGGCCCCACCUCUGAGCACUGAUGCUUGAGACCAAGCCGUCAACAUGUGAACAUACAGCAGACAUUUACAAUCCACAACAGACAUUUCCUCUCCCCCCCUUCCUCUGUCCUGUUCUGCUGGCCUCUUUCCUCUGGCCACUUCCAUGUAUGACAGUGGUAUAUGUCCACCAUCCUCCCUGGUUCCUCCUACUGCCACACUGUUCCAUGUAGUCCUCACAUGUGCCACAGUUCCUUUGGCCAAAACUACCCAUCCUUGUAUACCACCUAAUUCUCUGCAGUGUGCCGUUCUAUGUACUUCUGAGCCAGGUGCUCUGAUGCCAGCCUCAUUAUCCACGGUGAGUGUUGUCUAUGACACCCCUUGGUGUAGGAGAAGCUGCAGCCAGCCUACCCAAGCGGCCAGCUGGCAUGAGCAUACUCAGCAGGCACUUCCUGCCUGAGCCAAGCCUGCCUCUAUGCAUAGAGACUGCUGACUAAGAGACACCUGACCAGACACACCAAUGAGGAAAGGACAAUGCAACAGAACCAGCCACCUGGGCCAAUAGGACCUUGGGAGGUGGUAUAGAGGGUUCACAGGCUGGUGGGAAGCUGAGAGAAAAUCCAGUCCCAGACUGAGAGGCUGCUGAAGGGUGCUGCAGUGGACAGUACGGCAGUCUUUGCAGAGAAACUUCCAGAAGAACACUCAGAUGGUCCUUUACUCUCUUCUUCGUCAGGACCUGAAUCAUAGCAUCAACUCUACAUGCACGGGAAACCAAAUGAACCUUUCCAAAGGUGGAAUUUGCUUCAAAUUUACACGUUUUGCCUUUAUAAUUAGCUGAUGUUUGAACUGUAUACCACUUGGUCUUUGUUGCAGUUCGCUUCUCUGUUGCUGUGAUAAAAUACUAA
ensembl:lncRNA